GGUGUAUGCACCUUUAAAUUGCGACCCGCCAACCAAAGAAGAAGAAUCCAACUCAACGUGGAAGAAGACGAUCUAAACCUCACUUUGGAUUCUCGACAGACAGAUACAACUUGUGACUGCUGUAGUGAAGAUGCCGCUUUCCAACAAGCGAUCCAGGGCAGCAAAGA